GGGGAUGUAAUGGUUUCGACAAGAGUUCGAGUUUAUAAUAAGCUACUCGCGUGAUUUUGCGUUAUAAAUCAAAAUUAUAAAUUUAAAAGACAACAAUAAUAGUUACGCAGUAGCCGCUUAGGCUACUCGUCGAUAUAUAAAUUUCCUGUGGUUUUUAUAUUGACGUCGAUUACGCAGGUAAAAUCACUGCGAAAACUUUGACGCUUUGAUUUAACUAUAAAGUUACUGGAUAUUGAGCGUGUUGAUUUCGCGUAAUAAUCCGGAAAAUUAAAUAAUCAACUAUAGUAGAAGAAAAUUAUAGACAAAAAUUUUUGGACAGGGGUUCGAUUCCCCUCAUCUCCAUUU
rnacentral:tmRNA from 1 species